rnacentral:rRNA from 1 species
CAGGCUAGAGUCUUGUAGAGGGGGGUAGAAUUCCAGGUGUAGCGGUGAAAUGCGUAGAGAUCUGGAGGAAUACCGGUGGCGAAGGCGGCCCCCUGGACAAAGACUGACGCUCAGGUGCGAAAGCGUGGGGAGCAAACAGGAUUAGAUACCCUGGUAGUCCACGCCGUAAACGAUGUCGAUUUGGAGGUUGUGCCCUUGAGGCGUGGCUUCCGGAGCUAACGCGUUAAAUCGACCGCCUGGGGAGUACGGCCGCAAGGUUAAAACUCAAAUGAAUUGACGGGGGCCCGCACAAGCGGUGGAGCAUGUGGUUUAAUUCGAUGCAACGCGAAGAACCUUACCUGGUCUUGACAUCCACAGAACUUUCCAGAGAUGGAUUGGUGCCUUCGGGAACUGUGAGACAGGUGCUGCAUGGCUGUCGUCAGCUCGUGUUGUGAAAUGUUGGGUUAAGUCCCGCAACGAGCGCAACCCUUAUCCUUUGUUGCCAGCGGUUAGGCCGGGAACUCAAAGGAGACUGCCAGUGAUAAACUGGAGGAAGGUGGGGAUGACGUCAAGUCAUCAUGGCCCUUACGACCAGGGCUACACACGUGCUACAAUGGCAUAUACAAAGAGAAGCGACCUCGCGAGAGCAAGCGGACCUCAUAAAGUAUGUCGUAGUCCGGAUUGGAGUCUGCAACUCGACUCCAUGAAGUCGGAAUCGCUAGUAAUCGUAGAUCAGAAUGCUACGGUGAAUACGUUCCCGGGCCUUGUACACACCGCCCGUCACACCAUGGGAGUGGGUUGCAAAAGAAGUAGGUAGCUUAACCUUCGGGAGGGCGCUUACCACUUUGUGAUUCAUGACUGGGGUGAAGUCGUAACAAGGUAACCGUAGGGGAACCUGCGGUUGGAUCACCUCCUU